rnacentral:rRNA from 1 species
UACGUGUGGUGCCAGUGUUAUUCUUCGUGAUUGGGCGUAAAGGAUGUGUAGGCGGUCUAUUUAAAUUAUGAUUGUUUCGAUGGGAUAACUGUUGGGAUUUAGAUAUAAGACUUAUAGGACUAGAGUUACGUAGGAGUCAGUACAAUUUUUGGAUUAGCGUUAAAAUGUGAUGAUUCUAAAGGGGGUACCAGAGGCGAAAGCGAACUGGCCUAUACGUAACUGACGCUUAAGCAUGAAAGUGUGGUUCUCGAAUCGG